rnacentral:rRNA from 1 species
UACGGGGGGGGCAAGCGUUGUUCGGAAUUACUGGGCGUAAAGGGCUCGUAGGCGGCCAACUAAGUCGGACGUGAAAUCCCCAGGCUCAACCUGGGAACUGCGUCCGAUACUGGAUGGCUUGAAUUCGGGAGAGGGAUGCAGAAUUCCAGGUGUAGCGGUGAAAUGCGUAGAUAUCUGGAGGAAUACCGGUGGCGAAGGCGAGUCCCUGGACAACUCCUGACGCUGAGGCACGAAAGCUAGGGGAGCAAACAGG